GAGUGUUUCGGCCCUACCCCAUUUCCCCCCGAGAAGACAGAUGGGCACUGAAGAAGCUUCAUCUUGAGUCAGUGACAAGGCUAGUCACUGAGCAACCCUGCCCUUCACCUCAACUGCUACAACGUAUUCCAGACCAUGGACAAGAUGACAGUGGAAUCGACUUUCCCCGCAUUGCUUGGGACAACGGACUUAUCUUAUGGAGGAUGCCAGCGAAAUAAUCCUGAUUUCUGGGAUCACAUGAAGGCUCCAGAGCAGAGAGCAGGAGGAAGAGGAAGAGCAAAAGGACGAUUUCCUGUUUGUCCCUGCUUAUAUCCUGAGUCUGCCCGCCAUGUCACCUCCUGUCUGGAUCUCUUUACUACAUUUCCCAGAAUCCUCCUUGACUCCU
rnacentral:lncRNA from 1 species